rnacentral:tRNA from 1 species
GCAGUUGUUUGAUGUAGAUUAGAAUCGAACUUUUAAUUCGAUUGUCGCGCGUUCGAAUCGUGCACGAGCCACCA